GACAAACCUGAUUGGACCAAUCUUUAAUUUUUUAAACGGAAUAAAAUUAAAAGGAGAAAAAAUUGAAAAUCGCAAAAUUAAAAACCAAUCUGCCCACUACACCAUCAUCAACAACGACUUAUUUAGGAAAAACAUGCAAUCCAAGAAUAACCUUACAUAAUUUGUGUAUCAAAGGAAGAUGGAAAAGAAAUAGCUCUGAGUAUCAAGUGGAGCCCACCAAGGAGGAAGAAAAUUAUUUCUACAAGUUCAGAGGCAAGGUUACUUCUGGCCAAGCAUGGAAUGGGACACAAGAGAAAUAGCUAGAGCAUGCAAAGAAUGUCAGAUCCACGCAAACAUCCCAAGGAUAUCUUCCACAGAAUUGACGAGUAUCGUAACAGCAGUACCAUUUGCUAGAUGGCGCAUCGAUAUAGUCGGCCCAUUCCCAACCGCUUCUCAGGGAAGGAAGUAUUUAUUCCUGGCCAUUGAUUAUUUCACAAAAUGGGCAGAAGCAGGACCAGUGAGUUCAAUUUCUCAAGAAUGCACAGUAAAAUUUGUGUUUAGAAGUAUAAUCUGCAGAUUCGGAGUUCCGGUUCAGAUAGUCACAGAUAACGGGACUCAGUUUACCGGUGGGGGAAUGAAGUAAGGAUAAUGAAAUUAAGUUAAGCUUCACUUCUGUCUACCACCCACAGACAAACGGCCAAGUCGAAGCAACCAAUAAAAGUCUAAUAAAAAUAUUAAAGAAGAAAGUCGACGAGAACCCGAAAAGUUGGGCAGAUCUGAUCCCAGAGGUAUUAUGGGCGUACAGAACAACUAUAAAGACCGUCAACGGAUUUACACCCUUUACUCUAGCCUUCGGAAUCUAAGCAGUGACCCCGUGCGAGCUAGUAUGGCCCACAGCCAGAAUAGUAGCAUAUGAGGAAGUAAACAACGAAGAAAAGCUAUCAGAAAACCUGGAAAUCAUCGAGAAUGUCAGAGAAAAUGCUGAAUUAAAAGAAGCAGCUUACAAAAGAAGAAUCGAAAGGGUGUUCAAUAGAAGGAUAAGGAAAGAAAAGUUAGCUCCAGGAGAUUUAGUACUAAGAAAUACACGACUAACUUUAUCAGAGCAGAGCAAAGGGAAAUUGUCUCAAAACUGGGAAGGCCCAUAUAUCAUCAAGGAAGAAUGGAAGACAGGAACCUUCAAAUUAGUAAAGGAAGAUGGAAUUCCAGUGCCAAGAACAUGGCAUGCCAACAAUCUCAGAAGGUAUUUUCAGUAAUCA
rnacentral:lncRNA from 1 species